AGAUGAUGAAAGUAUUCCAGAAAAGGAGUUUUAUCUAGAAAGAGAAGUUGGAUUGAAGGAUGAGGAGAGGAUCUUUCUAAUAUUGGGAUCUAAUCUUAUUUACUACUGCCCCUAUGAAACACAGACAUCAUUCUCAGAGAUAUCAGAAUGCAAGAAACUCACACAAAGUAUCACCAUGCCUCAACUGUGCAUAGUUGGUUACUAUGGGAAUAACGAGAUAAAAGGGUAGUCCAGAGAUCAACAUAGGAUUUUCCUCCUAGCCAAGUUUACCAGCUACUAGACUGUUACCUGUGUCUAAGCUAUUUGGCAGAAAACCCUUCACUCCAGCAAUAUACUGCACAUGC